UGGAACUGCCACUUAAGCAUCAGAAGUCUGCUCAGGUGUGACCCUGGGAGCCCAAACUUUUCACGGAACAGCAAGGAACAUCCCUGUGCUCCUCCUUCCCAGUCUCUUUUUUUUUCAGAGGGAGUCUCGCUCUGUUGCCCAGGCUGGAGUGCAGUGGCGAGAUCUCAGCUCACUGCAAGCUCCGUCUCCCGGGUUCACGCCAUUCUCCUGCCUCAGCCUGCCGAGUAGCUGGGACAACAGGCGCCAGCCACCAUGCCCAGGCAUACAAAACCUGCCUUGCCUCUCCCCAGUUUGAACAGUGCUUUUGAACUUUGAUGGAAAAGCCACAUUUGGAAGGUCAUACCACCCUUGACAAACUGCAGUCCCUACUGGCCAUUACACUGCAGAGCCGUGACAAUGAUGGAUCUCCUGUUUGGAAGAGAAUGACCCAGGACAAAAGGGGUGACCAAACCAUGGUCUAAGUGUGAUAUCUGAAGCUGCUUAAUCUGCAAAAGGAAACCCAGUCUGCAGCAUCCUCGGGAGACAGCUGGAUCAGCCAGAGAGCUUCAGAAAGACACACAUCACUCUGCCAGACACACACACUGCUCCAGCUCCAGCAUCCAACAUCUGACCACAUGUCGGCAGCCACUGCUGACCUGGCUCCACCAUUUCUCCCCAGGUCUAAGCUUAAGCCGCACUGCAUUGCUUCCAUUUCUUCAUGCUUGCUCUGUUCCCUUCUACCACAGGGGCUUUGUGCAAGCUCAGCCUCAACAUGGAUCUUCCCCCUUCUUCACCUGGUCAACAGCCACUCAUUCUUCAACCUUAGUUCGAGCAUCAUCAACCUCCCCCGCUAUGUCAGUUCUCCCUGUUAGACACCCUGGCUGUUCCACAUAUCUUUUAUUCAAAGUAGUUACAUAUUAAAG
rnacentral:lncRNA from 1 species